rnacentral:lncRNA from 1 species
GUUUGACUGUGUGAGCUCGGCAUGACAGUUCUCCAGCUUGGGAUGGGUCUGGGCCUGCUAUCUUUUUCUGGUUUAAGUGAUUUUGGGUCAGACUCUCGAAUCGGGUCUGGACUGGGGUGAAACCUGCCUCCAACAAUACCCACCCAGGAAGACCGUUGUGUCUGAAGUUAGCAUCUAGCUCGGGUGUAGGUUCUGAGAUGUAUAGUAUGCUCGAGAUUGUUGCUUCUGUAGGAGAUCUAGAAUCCGGUUCGAGAUUCUGAUUUUCUUGCAUUAACUACUGAUUUGAUUGGUGUAAAUCAACAGUCCAACUUUCUGUACAGACGCAUAUCCUCGGCUCGUUCGCCUCCCCUCCAACUGGCCGUCGCCUCUCCUCCACCGUCUACGCAAUCUCCCCUCCGCGAGUCACCACCAACCGGUCCCCUGCAGAUUUGAAAUUCACGCAAGCUUGGAGUUGGUUGGGCUUGGCCCAUUUUUGGAUUCCAAAAAGCUCAUCACCUCUUCGGCUCUUUAACACAGUAGGGCCCAAACAGAAUGACUCACCUAGUCAUUGCCUCUAUGGUGUACACCAGCUCCUCCGCAGGACCUUAACUCCAUAUACUCCAUACCCUCCUAAACUCAAGCUUAUUAUCCCAACCCUAUUCAUCCCACUCCUUUAUUGUUGCACUCCCUAAACUAGCCUUUGUCCAUUUAUUCCUCAAUUAAAAAACAACCACAAUUCAACUACCUACAUGGCCCACAUCCUAACCUUAACCAAUCAAAAUUCUUUGGUCCACAUGUUCUUCUUCUUCCUCGUACUCUCUCCUCCUCU